AGCUUCCUGUCAAUCAUUGUUAUAAGCUCCGCCCUUUACACCUGGCAGUCAGCAUAGAGAGAGCAGACAGAGGAGAAGUGAAACUGUUUAUAUAUCUCCACUUCAUUUGCAAUGUGUGCCUUCACUGAACUGGAUUAUGAUGUCACUUGCUAAAUAUUUAAUUAAAAUUGAUAAGAAAAUGUAGCUUUGAAUGAAAUAAUGGUAACGUUUUAGGUGAUACUCAAUGUUUUAUAUAUACGAUGUACUGCAUUAAAAUCUUUAAAUGCUUAUUGAUACAAUAUCUGUGUGGUGUGAUUCUUUAAGUAUACCCAGCAGCUGGAGAGUUAAAUGGAAAGUAGAAACAUUUUCUUCGUUAUUGCGUAAGGCAAUGGCAGAGUAAGGGUUUCCAGACCCUGAG